UACGUAGGGUGCGAGCGUUACUCGGAAUUACUGGGCGUAAAGCGUGCGCAGGCGGUUCGUUGUGUCGGCGGUGAAAUCCCCAGGCUCAACCUGGGAACUGCAUCCGAUACUGGAUGGCUUGAAUCCGGGAGAGGGAUGCAGAAUUCCAGGUGUAGCGGUGAAAUGCGUAGAUAUCUGGAGGAAUACCGGUGGCGAAGGCGGCAUCCUGGACCGGCAUUGACGCUGAGGAGCGAAAGCCAGGGGAGCAAACGGG
rnacentral:rRNA from 1 species